rnacentral:rRNA from 1 species
GAUGAACGCUGGCGGCGUGCCUAAUACAUGCAAGUCGAGCGAACGGACGAUAAGCUUGCUCCCCUGAUGUUAGCGGCGGACGGAUGAGUAACACGUGCAUAACCUAUCUAUAUUACUGGGAUAAUUUCGGGAAACCGGAGCUAAUACUGGAUAAUACUUCGAACCGCAUGGUUCAAAAGUGAAUGACGGUUUUGCUGUCACUUAUAGAUGGAUCCGCGUUGCAUUAGCUAGUUGGUAAGGUAACGGCCUACCAAGGCAACGAUGCGUAGCCGACCUGAGAGGGUGAUCAGCCACACUGGAACUGAGACACGGUCCAGACUCCUACGGGAGGCAGCAGUGGGGAAUAUUCCACAAUGGGCGCAAGCCUGACCCAGCAACACCGCGUGGGUGAAGAAGGUCUUCGGGUCGUAAAGCUCUGUUAUUGGGAAAGAAAAGCUGUAGGUGAAUCUCUCCACGUCUUGACGGUACCUAAACAAUAAGCCCCGGCUAACUUCGUG